AUUCCAUAGUGAGGAAACUUCCUAAGCAUCUCCUUGUAACGCUCCCAAGCUUCACAUAAAGAUUCACAUGACUGCUAAGAAAAUUGAGUAAGAGCAUUCCUGAUUGC
rfam:Daucus carota subsp. sativus cultivar DH1 chromosome 1, whole genome shotgun sequence.